rnacentral:rRNA from 1 species
AGCAGCCGCGGUAAUUCCAGCUCCAAUAGCGUAUAUUAAAGUUGUUGCAGUUAAAAAGCUCGUAGUUGAAUUUCGGGAUCAAUAUUUCGGUCAUGCCGUUGGUAUGCACUGUUAUCAUUGAUUUCUCACCUUCUAAAGAACCGUAAUGCCAUUAAUUUGGUGUUACGGGGAAUUAGGACUGUUACCUUGAAAAAAUUAGAGUGUUUAAAGCAGGCUCACGCUUGAAUACAUUAGCAUGGAAUAAUGAAAUAGGACAUCCGAUUCUAUUUUGUUGGUUUCUAGGAUCGAUGUAAUGAUUAAUAGGGAUAGUUGGGGGCAUUAGUAUUCAAUUGUCAGAGGUGAAAUUCUUGGAUUUAUUGAAGACUAACUACUGCGAAAGCAUUUGCCAAGGAUGUUUUCAUUAAUCAAGAACGAAAGUUAGGGGAUCGAAGACGAUCAGAUACCGUCGUAGUCUUAACCAUAAACUAUGCCGACUAGGGAUCGGACGAAGUUAAUUUUAUAAUGACGCGUUCGGCACCUU